rnacentral:lncRNA from 1 species
GGGGGCAGGGGGCCAUGGGGGGACCCCUGAGCCGGGCUGCAUGCUCAGAGGUCCCACCAAUCCCCACGAGGUGCCGCCGUUUUAGACGAAGAACCUGGAUUCGGUUCAAGACGUGGUUCUUGGCCUAGAACUUUCCAGUUUUCACAUCCCAUAAAAGAGGCCUGGACCGGAGACCGACGGCUCCUCCCCAAGCAGCACCUCUCACGAGGAGAACAAUGGUGUCGCACUUGUGCCCUGGACUGGGACGGUGCCACUGGCUAGCAAGCUGUGUGGCCUAGAGCAAGCUGUCUGACCUCUCUGUGCCUGUUUCCUCGUCUGUAAAAUGAGAACCACAAUAAUAAUCUCUUGUUGAGCAACUGAAGGAGACAAGCCAAGAAAUACUCCACAGUGACCGCUACCCAGACAGGGAGCCCCAAUGGACCGAGGGGUGUGGCAUUGUCACCAACUGUGACUGAGCACCACAAGCACCACACAGACCUGCCAAGAGGACCUAGGAAGGGACCUGAGCGCGUGACACAUGUCCACCCGAGGAGCCAUCUCCAGGGCGUGGGUUCGAGGGCUGGACCACACACCCCGAGUGCCAGCUCGUGCAGUCCUGAGGGUCCUGCUCUGCCCCAGGCCUCACUGAGCGCCCACCACCCUGGGCAGGCGCGGCCGGCGGAGCCCGC